CUGAACAACUUCGCUUUCGAGGUAACAAAGACCAACGCCUUGUGCGAAAAUAUGAAGGACCCGUCAACGUCCUUCAGAAGGUGGGCAAGACAUCCUAUAGGGUUCAACUACCCCCGUGGAUGAAAAUCCAUCCAGUAAUCCACGUGAGCAACUUGAAGUCUUACCACCCCGACACCGUCGACCCUACAUGAAACGAGGUAACCCGUCCAGCAGUCACGUUGACAAACAAGGUUGACAAAGAAGUUGAGUCAAUCCUCGCCGAGAGAACACGCCGAGUAGGAAGACCACGAAGAGACGUACAGGAAUUCCUAGUCAAGUGGAAAGGGCUCCCAAAUGAAGAGAUAAGUUGGGAGCGUACUGAAGACCUGAAGACAGCUGCGGCAGCAAUUAAAGAGUUCGAGCAGCGACAAUUGACGGGAAUGUCAACCAUUUAAGUGGGGGAGAAUGUCAUGGUCAUGCUUGUCCAGGAUCUGUUGCCUGUGGCCGCAUGCCCAUAACAACCUCUUUCCACAUACUUUUAUGCCAUGUAUUUAGUUUUACUUGUUAUUUUGUUUUCCUUGUACUUUUGGUGGCGAGUGACUCCUCGCAACUUUGCAUGUUCACGCCUGCCUAAGGUAAAAUGCUUUAUAAUCUACCUUAGGGGGUACACCUAGUCAUCCUCCCUACAUUGCGUUGUAUUCUUGUCUUGCCGCUAAUCUAUGCUCUUGCAUUCAAGCUUACAACAACUUUCUAAAAUGCUUUCAAACGUUUUCCAAAACCUUUUUCUCUAACCCCGUUUUCCAAAACCGUUUUUUCGAGAACGGGGGUGGAGGUUGCGACAUAUAGCCUUUGUGCCAUCGGCUAUUCGUUUCCGCAUUGGCUGACUUGCUAGAGGGUGAAAGCAAGUGCCGUACAAUCGCUUCGUGAGUCCUGUUAAAGUGCGAUUGUGACACUAUACAUCCAUUAUUUAUACUAAGAAUUGAGUAAACGCGGCAUGACUGAAGGAAGAUAAUUUGUGGCAAGAAUUUGUUGUAGUGUGUAAAGAUGAUUGCGAAUGCAAAUUCAGGCUUGUUGAGUUUUGGAGGUAAGGUUGCUGUCGAGUUGCUAGAAAAGUUGAGACUACCUUAUUGGUUUUUAACCCUUGCACUGUAAGUUUGCUGCUUUUCUGGAACAUUGUGGAGGUGGCCCUUUGACAAAAUUAUUUGCGUUCGAUAAAUGUCUCCCUAAGUGCAAAUUUUUACAGGUUUGGGACAAGCAUAAUCUUCUUCAAGAACAAGAUAAAGAAAUAGCAACUCGUAGGUCUUUCACGACUCCAAAGACGUCGACAAUUAGGAAUGCAACUAAUUGAUGGAUGAGCUUCGUUGUCGAGGUUGGUGUGUAGGGAACAUGUUUAAUUCUGUAAUUUUUUUAUUUGUGUUCAAGAAUACUAGUAUAUUCUAAAUUAAUAUAUUAGCUUCCUUGUUCA